rnacentral:rRNA from 1 species
CCUACGGGAGGCAGCAGUGAGGAAUAUUGGACAAUGGGCGCAAGCCUGAUCCAGCCAUGCCGCGUGCAGGAUGACGGUCCUAUGGAUUGUAAACUGCUUUUAUACGAGAAGAAACACCCCUACGUGUAGGGACUUGACGGUAUCGUAAGAAUAAGGAUCGGCUAACUCCGUGCCAGCAGCCGCGGUAAUACGGAGGAUCCAAGCGUUAUCCGGAAUCAUUGGGUUUAAAGGGUCCGUAGGCGGUUUAGUAAGUCAGUGGUGAAAUCUCCCCGCUCAACGGGGAAACGGCCAUUGAUACUGCUAGACUUGAAUUAUUAGGAAGUAACUAGAAUAUGUAGUGUAGCGGUGAAAUGCUUAGAGAUUACAUGGAAUACCAAUUGCGAAGGCAGGUUACUACUAAUGGAUUGACGCUGAUGGACGAAAGCGUGGGUAGCGAACAGGAUUAGAUACCCUGGUAGUCCACGCCGUAAACGAUGGAUACUAGCUGUUGGGUGCAAACUCAGUGGCUAAGCGAAAGUGAUAAGUAUCCACCUGGGGAGUACGUUCGCAAGAAUGAAACUCAAAUGAAUUGACCGGNNGAGAGNGCGAGACGACGACGAGGAGAGG